GACGAACGCUGGCGGCGUGCCUAAUACAUGCAAGUUGAGCGCUGAAGGUUGGUACUUGUACCGACUGGAUGAGCAGCGAACGGGUGAGUAACGCGUGGGGAAUCUGCCUUUGAGCGGGGGACAACAUUUGGAAACGAAUGCUAAUACCGCAUAACAACUUUAAACACAAGUUUUAAGUUUGAAAGAUGCAAUUGCAUCACUCAAAGAUGAUCCCGCGUUGUAUUAGCUAGUUGGUGAGGUAAAGGCUCACCAAGGCGAUGAUACAUAGCCGACCUGAGGGGGGGCGCGGCCAACUUGGGACUGAGAGACGGCCCAAACUCCUACGGGGGGCAGCAGUAGGGAAGCUUCGGCAAUGGACGAAAGUCUGACCGAGCAACGCCGCGUGAGUGAAGAAGGUUUUCGGAUCGUAAAACUCUGUUGGUAGAGAAGAACGUUGGUGAGAGUGGAAAGCUCAUCAAGUGACGGUAACUACCCAGAAAGGGACGGCUAACUACGUGCCAGCCGCCGCCGUAA
rnacentral:rRNA from 1 species